CAGCAGUCGAGAAUCUUUCGCAAUGGACGGAAGUCUGACGAAGCGACGCCGCGUGUGUGAUGAAGGCUCUAGGGUUGUAAAGCACUUUCGCUUGGGAAUAAGAGAAGACGGUUAAUACCCGCUGGAUUUGAGCGUACCAGGUAAAGAAGCACCGGCUAACUCCGUGCCAGCAGCUGCGGUAAUACGGAGGGUGCUAGCGUUAAUCGGAUUUAUUGGGCGUAAAGGGCGUGUAGGCGGAAAGGUAAGUUAGUUGUCAAAGAUCGGGGCUCAACCCCGAGUCGGCAUCUAAUACUAUUUUUCUAGAGGAUAGAUGGAGAAAAGGGAAUUUCACGUGUAGCGGUGAAAUGCGUAGAUAUGUGGAAGAACACCAGUGGCGAAGGCGCUUUUCUAAUUUAUACCUGACGCUAAGGCGCGAAAGCAAGGGGAGCAAACAGGAUUAGA
rnacentral:rRNA from 1 species